UACGUAGGGGGCUAGCGUUGUCCGGAUUUAUUGGGCGUAAAGAGCGUGUAGGCGGCCAUGUAGGUCCGGUGUGAAAACUCGAGGCUUAACCUCGAGAUGUCAUCGGAAACCAUUUGGCUAGAGUCCGGAAGAGGCGAGUGGAAUUCCCGGUGUAGCGGUGAAAUGCGCAGAUAUCGGGAGGAACACCAAUGGCGAAGGCAGCUCGCUGGGACGGUACUGACGCUGAGACGCGAAAGCGUGGGGAGCAAACAGG
rnacentral:rRNA from 1 species